rnacentral:misc_RNA from 1 species
AGCAGCCGCGGUAAUUCCAGCUCCAAUAGCGUAUAUUAAAGUUGUUGCAGUUAAAAAGCUCGUAGUUGAAUUUCGAGACCGGUUUACUGGUCGUGCUUUUGUACGUACUGGUAUUAUUGGUUUCUCCUUUCUGACGAAUCAUAAUGCCAUUAAUUUGGUGUUUUGGGGAAUCAGGACUGUUACUUUGAAAAAAUUUAGAGUGUUUAAAGCAGGCUCACGCUUGAAUACAUUAGCAUGGAAUAACGAAAUAGGACGUUUGAUUUUAUUUUGUUGGUUUCUAGGAUCGACGUAAUGAUUAAUAGGGAUAGUUGGGGGCAUUAGUAUUCAAUUGUCAGAGGUGAAAUUCUUGGAUUUAUUGAAGACUAACUACUGCGAAAGCAUUUGCCAAGGAUGUUUUCAUUAAUCAAGAACGAAAGUUAGGGGAUCGAAGACGAUCAGAUACCGUCGUAGUCCUAACCAUAAACUAUGCCGACUAGGGAUCGGAUGAUGUUAAUUUUUUAAUGACUCAUUCGGCGCCUUA